AUUGAACGCUGGCGGCAGGCUUAACACAUGCAAGUCGAGCGGAGUGAUGGUGCUUGCACUAUCACUUAGCGGCGGACGGGUGAGUAAUGCUUAGGAAUCUGCCUAUUAGUGGGGGACAACAUCUCGAAAGGGAUGCUAAUACCGCAUACGUCCUACGGGAGAAAGCAGGGGAUCACUUGUGACCUUGCGCUACUAGAUGAGCCUAAGUCGGAUUAGCUAGUUGGUGGGGUAAAGGCCUACCAAGGCGACGAUCUGUAGCGGGUCUGAGAGGAUGAUCCGCCACACUGGGACUGAGACACGGCCCAGACUCCUACGGGAGGCGGCAGUGGGGAAUAUUGGACAAUGGGGGGAACCCUGAUCCAGCCAUGCCGCGUGUGUGAAGAAGGCCUUAUGGUUGUAAAGCACUUUAAGCGAGGAGGAGGCUCUUUUGGUUAAUACCCAAGAUGAGUGGACGUUACUCGCAGAAUAAGCACCGGCUAACUCUGUGCCAGCAGCCGCCGUAACAC
rnacentral:rRNA from 1 species